CCAAGGAGUCUAACAUGUGCGCGAGUCAAUGGGAUUGCUUUGGCUAAACCCACGGGCGCAAUGAAAGUGAAAGUUWGANUUAAAGUAGCGGGAUCCGUCGGGANCCUCUUCNUGAGGAGGGGCCCCGCGGCGCACCGCCGGCCCGUCUCNACCGCAUCGCCGGUGAGGCGGAGCAAGAGCGUACACGUUGGGACCCGAAAGAUGGUGAACUAUGCCUGGGCAGGACGAAGCCAGAGGAAACUCUGGUGGAGGUCCGUAGCGAUUCUGACGUGCAAAUCGAUCGUCGGACCUGGGUAUAGGGGCGAAAGACUAAUCGAACCGUCUA
rnacentral:rRNA from 1 species